rnacentral:lncRNA from 1 species
AUUUAAUUACAUAAGCACUCGUUAAGUUUCAGGAGAAAAUGAGCUAAAAUGAAGAAGAUAUGCGAUUAAUAGUUUUUACUUAAGUGAAUAGUAAAUCCGGUUUUUCGGAGAAGACACAGAGUAGAGUUGGCUUUCGGCGCGUAUCAGACUCCGUUCAUAGCGAUCCAAUAGCUUGUUUCGAUCGGUUCAGCUAUUCUGGAACCAACGGUACAGACGGAUUUUAGAUCUAAUGCACGAUUUUCGAGAAAAAGGAGUUUUAUCAAAAAAGAGGGUUUUC